UCGAAAGGCGGGGGCAAGCAACAUAAACAAUCCCUUCGGGUGCGUUUAUGGGCGGCGAGCGGCGGACGGGUGAGUAAUGCCUGGAAAUAUGCCCUGAUGUGGGGGAUAACCUUUGGAAACGAUGGCUAAUACCGCAUAAUCUCUUCGGAGCAAAGAGGGGGACCUUCGGGCCUCUCGCGUCAGGAUUACCCCAGGUGAAAUUAGCUAGUUGGUGAGGUAAAAGCUCACCAGGGCAACAAUCUCUAGCUGGUCUGAGAGGAUGAUCACCCACACUGGAACUGAAACACGGUCCAAACUCCUACGGGAGGCAGCAGUGGGAAAUAUUGCACAAUGGGGGAAACCCUGAUGCACCCAUGCCGCGUGUGUGAAAAAGGCCUUCGGGUUGUAAAGCACUUUCAUUUGUGAGGAAGGCAUAUACUUUAAUAGCGUGUGUGUUUGACGUUACCAACAAAAAAAGCACCGGCUAACUCCGUGCCAGCAGCCGCGGUAAUACGGAGGGUGCGAGCGUUAAUCGAAAUUACUGGGCGUAAAGCGCAUGCAGGCGGCUUGUUAAGCCAUAUGUGAAAGCCCGGGGCUCACCCUCGAAAUAGCAUUUGGAACUGGCAGGCUAGAGUCUUGUAGAGGGGGGUAGUAUUUCGGGUGUAGCGGUGAAAUGCGUAGAGAUCUGAAGGAAUACCGGUGGCGAGGCGGCCCCCUGGACAAAGACUGACGCUCAUAUGCGAAAGCGUGGGGGAGCAAACAGGAUUAGAUACCCUGUUAGUCCACGCCGUAACGAUGUCUACUUGGAGGUUGGAACCUUGAGUUCUGGCUUUCGGAGCUAACGCAUUAUUA
rnacentral:rRNA from 1 species